rnacentral:rRNA from 1 species
UGGGUAAUCUGCCCUCGGUUCUGGGAUAGCCCGGGGAAACCCGGAUUAAUACCGGAUGGCCUCUCGAGUUCUCGAGCUCGUGAGAAAAGGUAGCUUCGGCCUCCGACCGAGGAUGAGCCCGCGGCGGAUUAGCUUGUUGGCGGGGUAAUGGCCCACCAAGGCGACGAUCCGUAGCUGGUCUGAGAGGACGAUCAGCCACACUGGGACUGAGACACGGCCCAGACCUCCGUACGGGAGCAGC